rnacentral:rRNA from 1 species
AUUGAACGCUGGCGGCAGGCCUAACACAUGCAAGUCGAGCGAGCGGCGGACGGGUGAGUAAUGUCUGGGAAACUGCCUGAUGGAGGGGGAUAACUACUGGAAACGGUAGAUAAUACCGCAUACCAUCAGAUGUGCCCAGAUGGGAUUAGCUAGUAGGUGGGGUAACGGCUCACAUAGGCGACGGGCCCUAGCUGGUCUGAUAGGAUGACCCGCCACCCUGUAACUGAGACACGGUCCAGACUCCUACGUGAGUCAGCAGUGGGGAAUAUUGCACAAUGGGCGCAAUCCUGAUGCAGCCAUGCCGCGUGUGUGAAGAAGGCCUUCGGGUUGUAAAGCACUUUCAGCGGGGAGGCGUUACCCGCAGAAGAAGCACCGGCUAACUCCGUGCCAGCAGCCGCGGUAAUUC